rnacentral:rRNA from 1 species
GACGAACCGUGCGAACGUUGUUCGGAAUCACUGGGCGUUAAAGGGCGCGUAGGCGGCUCGCGAGGUCGGGGGAUGAAAUCCCACGGCUCAACCGUGGAAGUGCCUUCGAUACCGGCGGGAGCGUGGAGGAAGGUAGGGGGUGCGCGGAACUUCUGGAUGGAGCGGUGAAAUGCGUUGAUAUCAGAAGGAACGCCGGCGGCGAAAGCUGGCGCACUGGAUCUUUUCUGACGCGUGAUGACGCGAAAGCCAGGGGAGCAAACGGG